UACGGGGGGGGCAAGCGUUGUUCGGAAUUACUGGGCGUAAAGGGCUCGUAGGCGGCCAACUAAGUCAGACGUGAAAUCCCCAGGCUCAACCUGGGAACCCGCGCUUGAGACUGGCACGCUCGAGUUCGGGGAGAGGAUGGUGGAAUUCCCAGUGUAGAGGUGAAAUUCGUAGAUAUUGGGAAGAACACCGAGUGGCGAAC
rnacentral:rRNA from 1 species